CCCAGACUCCUACGGGAGGCAGCAGUGGGGAAUAUUGCACAAUGGGGGGAACCCUGAUGCAGCGACGCCGCGUGGGUGAAGGAGUACUUCGGUACGUAAAGCCCUAUCAGCAGGAAAGAAAAUGACGGUACCUGACUAAGAAGCCCCGGCUAACUACGUGCCAGCAGCCGCGGUAAUACGUAGGGGGCAAGCGUUAUCCGGAUUUACUGGGUGUAAAGGGAGCGUAGACGGCAGUGCAAGUCCGGAGUGAAAGCCCGGGGCUCAACCCUGGGACUGCUCUGGAAACUGUAAAGCUGGAGUGCGAGAGGGGCAGGCGGAAUUCCUGGUGUAGCGGUGAAAUGCGUAGAUAUCAGGAGGAACACCGGCGGCGAAGGCGGCCUGCUGGACCGUAACUGACGUUGAGGCUCGAAAGCGUGGGGAGCAAACAGGAUUAGAUACCCGGGUA
rnacentral:rRNA from 1 species